rnacentral:rRNA from 1 species
GUCAGCUCGUGUCGUGAGAUGUUGGGUUAAGUCCCGUAACCGAGCGCAACCCUUGUCCUUAGUUACCAGCACGUUAUGGUGGGGCACUCUAAGGAGACUGCCGGUGACAAACCGGAGGAAGGUGGGGAGUGACGUCAAGUCAUCAUGGCCCUUACGGCCUGGGCUACACACGUGCUACAAUGGUCGGUACAAAGGGUUGCCAAGCCGCGAGGUGGAGCUAAUCCCAUAAAACCGAUCGUAGUCCGGAUCGCAGUCUGCAACUCGACUGCGUGAAGUCGGAAUCGCUAGUAAUCGUGAAUCAGAAUGUCACGGUGAAUACGUUCCCGGGCCUU